rnacentral:rRNA from 1 species
ACUGCCCAAAGGUCCGGGAUAACCCCGGGAAACUGGGGAUAAUACCGGAUAGGUCACAAGUACUGGAAUUUGUCUUGUGGUUGAAACUUCCGGGGCCUUUGGAUGGGUCUGCGGCGGAUUAGGUUGUUGCCGGUGUAACGUACCGUCAAGCCUGUAAUCCGUACGGGUUGUGGGAGCAAGAGCCCGGAGAUGGAUUCUGAGACACGAAUCCAGGCCCUACGGGGCGCAGCAGGCGCGAAAACUCUACAAUGCAGGCAACUGCGAUAGGGGAACAUCGAGUGAUACUCAUCUUGGGUGUCUGUCCUCCCGUCUAAAAAACGGGAGUUAGCAAGGGCCGGGCAAGACCGGUGCCAGCCGCCGCGGUAAUACCGGCGGCUCGAGUGGUGGCCGAUAUUAUUGAGUCUAAAGGGUCCGUAGCCGGCUUUGCAAGUCUUUUGGGAAAUCCAGCGGCUUAACCGUUGGGCGUCCAAGGGAUACUACAUUGCUUGGGACUGGGAGAGGCGUGAGGUACUCAGGGGGUAGGAGUGAAAUCCUGUAAUCCUUUGGGGACCACCGGUGGCGAAGGCGUCACGCCAGAACAGGUCCGACGGUGAGGGACGAAAGCUAGGGGCACGAACCGGAUUAGAUACCCGGGUAGUCCUAGCCGUAAACGAUGCUCGCUAGGUGUCACAACAAUCGUGAAUUGUUGUGGUGCCGUAGGGAAGCCGUGAAGCGAGCCACUUGGGAAGUACGACCGCAAGGUGAAA